AGCAGUAGCCACGGGAAUACGAAGGGUGCAAGCGUUAAUCGGAAUUACUGGGCGUAAAGCGUGCGUAGGCGGUGAGUUAAGUCUGCUGUGAAAUCCCCGGGCUCAACCUGGGAAUGGCAGUGGAUACUGGCUCGCUAGAGUGUGUCAGAGGAUGGUGGAAUUCCCGGUGUAGCGGUGAAAUGCGUAGAGAUCGGGAGGAACAUCAGUGGCGAAGGCGGCCAUCUGGGACAACACUGACGCUGAGGCACGAAAGCGUGGGGAGCAAACAGGAUUAGAUACCCCGGUAGUCCCUGUCUCUUAUAC
rnacentral:rRNA from 1 species